AUUUCCGUAGUGUAGUGGUCAUCACGUUUGCCUCACACCAAAGGUCCCCAGGUUCAAAACUGGGUGGAAACA